GACGGGAGGGGCGAGCGCUACCCGGAGUCACUGGGCGUAAAGCGCGCGCAGGCGGCAACCUAAGUGUCGUGUGAAAGCCCCCGGCUCAACCGGGGGAGGCCAUGGCAAACUGGGUCGCUCGAGCUGCGGAGAGGCCCCUCGAAUUGCCGGUGUAGCGGUGAAAUGCGUAGAGAUCGGCAGGAAGACCAAGGGGGAAGCCAGGGGGCUGGCCGCAGGCUGACGCUGAGGCGCGACAGCGUGGGGAGCAAACCGG
rnacentral:rRNA from 1 species